GGGUAUCGCCAAGCGGUAAGGCACCGGUUUUUGAUACCGGCAUUCCCUGGUUCGAAUCCCGUCGUA
rnacentral:tRNA from 1 species